rnacentral:rRNA from 1 species
AGCAGCCGCGGUAAUUCCAGCUCCAAUAGCGUAUAUUAAAGUUGCUGCAGUUAAAAAGCUCGUAGUUGAAUUUCGGGACCAUCAUGUCGGUCGUGCCUCGGUACGUACUGGCAUCGUUGGUUUCUCCCUUCUGACGAGCCAUGAUGUCAUUAAUUUGGUGUCAUGGGGAAUCAGGACUGUUACUUUGAAAAAAUUAGAGUGUUUAAAGCAGGCUCACGCUUGAAUACAUUAGCAUGGAAUAAUGAAAUAGGACGUUUGAUUCUAUUUUGUUGGUUUCUAGGAUCGACGUAAUGAUUAAUAGGGAUAGUUGGGGGCAUUAGUAUUCAAUUGUCAGAGGUGAAAUUCUUGGAUUUAUUGAAGACUAACUACUGCGAAAGCAUUUGCCAAGGAUGUUUUCAUUAAUCAAGAACGAAAGUUAGGGGAUCGAAGACGAUCAGAUACCGUCGUAGU